AGGGGGUUAAAAUUAAUGAGUAAAAAUGUUAAUAAAAAAAAUUUUAAUGUUAGAAUAUGAUAAUGGGGGUUAAAGUAUUUUAAUGGAAAAAAUUUUUAAGUUUAUAGUUGAUGAGUAUUGUGGGGGAAAUUUGAAAUAGGGUGAAAAUAUAUUUUUUUGGAAGUAAAUUUAGUUUAUUGUAUCUUGUGUAUCAGAGUUUAUUAAUUUUUUUUUUAUGUAAUAAAUUUCUCGAAUUUAAAAGAGUUAAUUAAUUAAUAAAUUUAUUGUUUUAUAAAUAUUUUAAAUAAUUAAUUAGAAAUGAAAUGUUAUUCGUUUUUAAAUAUAUCUAGUUUUUUAAGAAAAAAAUUUAAUUUUAAAUUAAAAAAAAUAAAUAAUUAAUUAGUUUUUAAUUAUUUUUAUUUUUUUAAUUUUAUAUUUUAGGGGAUAAGCUUUAAAUUAAAUUUUUAUAAUUAAAGUUUAUUUAGAUGAAAAUUUUAUAAUUUAAAUUGUUAUUAAAUUUUAAUUUAUUAUAAAUAAUUUCAUUAAAUUUUAAAAUUUAAAUUGAAUUUAAUAUUUUAUUAAAAAAAAAAUAUAAAUUAUUUAUAUUAAGUUAUAAUGAUAAAAUUAGUAUAUAAAUAUAAUAUUUUGGUAAAAUUUUAUUUUAUGAUAAUUAUUUAAAAGGAAUUCGACAAAAAUUUAUAUUCACCUGUUUAUCAAAAACAUGUCUUUUUGGGUUAUAAUUUAAAGUCUAAUCUGCCCACUGAUUUUAAAAUUAAAGGGCUGCAGUAUAUUGACUGUACAAAGGUAGCAUAAUCAUUAGUCUCUUAAUUGGUGACUUGUAUGAAAGAUUGGAUGAAAUAUAAAUUGUCUCUUAUGUAUAAAAUUGAAAUUAAUUUUUUAAUUAAAAAGUUAAAAUAAUUUAAAAAGACGAGAAGACCCUAUAGAGUUUUAUAUUUAUUUGAAUUUAAUUUAUAAAUUAAUUUAUAUUGGUUUAAUUUUAAUUUAAUUAUUUUAUUGGGGUGAUAGAAAAAUUAAAUUAACUUUUUUUAAAAUUUAAAUUCAUUGAUUUAUGAGUUAUUGAUCCAGUAUUAUUGAUUAUAAGAAAAAAUUACCUUAGGGAUAACAGCGUAAUUUUUUUUUUUAGUACUUAUAAGAAAAAGAGUUUGCGACCUCGAUGUUGGAUUAAGAUAAAAUUUAAAUGCAAAAGUUUAAAAUUUUGAUCUGUUCGAUCAUUAAAAUCUUACAUGAUCUGAGUUCAAACCGGUGUAAGCCAGGUUGGUUUCUAUCUUUUAAUUUUUUUUUGAUAUUUUAGUACGAAAGGAGUAAAUAUUAUAAUUAAAUUAAUUUUAAAGAAUUUUAUUAAUAAUUGAAUAAAUUUAUUA
rnacentral:rRNA from 1 species